rnacentral:lncRNA from 1 species
UGUAUAAACCUGGCCCAAUAAAUUAAUUAUCUAAAGUCGACCCAAUUGAAACUGGAUAUGCCCGAUAAAUCUUUCAUAAAAAUCGGCCCAGUACAAACUGCAGGUCAUGUUAUUGAAAACGACAAGGUCAUCCUCAUUUUCGAAAACUGGAGUCAUCCUCAACCUCUAGUUGGGUUGAAAUUGACUCGGUUUCGGCCUGCCUCAUAAUCA